AUUGAACGCUGGCGGCAGGCUUAACACAUGCAAGUCGAACGAGUGGCGGACGGGUGAGUAAUGCUUGGGAAUCUAGCUUAUGGAGGGGGAUAACUACGGGAAACUGUAGCUAAUACCGCGUAACAUAGGAUGAGCCCAAGUGGGAUUAGGUAGUUGGUGAGGUAAAGGCUCACCAAGCCGCCGAUCGCUAGCUGGUCUGAGAGGAUGACCAGCCACACUGGGAUUGAGACACGGCCCAGAAUCCGCCGGAGGGCAGCAGUGGGGAAUUUUGCACAAUGGGAGCAAGCCUGAUGCAGCCAUGCCGCGUGUAUGAAGAAGGCCUUAGGGUUGUAAAGUACUUUCAGCGGGGAGGCGUUACCCGCAGAAGAAGCACCGGCUAACUCCGUGCCAGCCGCCGCGUAAUUC
rnacentral:rRNA from 1 species